AGGAAUCUUCCACAAUGGGGGAAACCCUGAUCCAGCGCCGCCGCGUGGGUGAAGAAGGCCUGCGGGUUGUAAAGCCCUUUCGGUUGGGAAGAAAAGUUGCGACCUAACACGUCGCGACCUUGACGUAACCAACUAAAGAAGCACCGGCUAACUCUGUGCCAGCAGCCGCGGUAAUACAGAGGGUGCGAGCGUUAAUCGGAAUUACUGGGCGUAAAGCGCGCGUAGGCGGCUUGGCAAGUUGGGUGUGAAAUCCCCGGGCUCAACCUGGGAACUGCAUUCGAGACUGCUUUGCUAGAGUAUGGGAGAGGGAGGUGGAAUUUCCGGUGUAGCGGUGAAAUGCGUAGAUAUCGGAAGGAACAUCAGUGGCGAAAGCGACUUCCUGGACCAAUACUGACGCUCAUGUGCGAAAGCGUGG
rnacentral:rRNA from 1 species